rnacentral:tRNA from 1 species
UGCAUCGGCCGGGAAUCGAACCCUGGGCGCCCGCGUGGCAGGCGAGCAUUUUACCACUGAACCAAAAGC